rnacentral:lncRNA from 1 species
UGGGCCAGAGCCCUUUUCAGAUUACAAUAAACUGGGCCUUAGCCCCUUAUUCAGAUAACAGUAUGGCCCAUAGGCCCAUUUCAAAAUACAUGCAACAUCAGUAAACAUAUGCAAGCCCAUUUGGGUAACAGUGGUACUGGGCCAGAGCCCUUUUCAGAUUACAAUAAACUGGGCCUUAGCCCCUUAUUCAGAUAACAGUAUGGCCCAUAGACCCAUUUCAAAAUACAUGCAACAUCAGUAAACAUAUGCAAG